rnacentral:lncRNA from 10 species
GAGGCACUGGAGACAAAGAUCAGCCACGUGGCAGUCAACCAUGUCUAUCUGACCAAGUUCCAAUGAAAACUCUGGACACCAAGGCUUGGGAGAUAUUUCUCAAAAGACUCCUCUGCGGGAGAGGAGAAUAGCAAAUGCUACUCUCUCUAGCUGUACUCUAAGCAGUUCGCAGGGAGCAUCUUUCAGCAGCUGAAACAGCUUUGCGGCCUUGCUGUAAUGAAGAUCUGCCAGCACCCGGUGUUGUUUCCUAAGGUGUUCAUCACCAACCUAGAACCAAACCAAAACAAGCAACAAAUCCUUCACGAGAAAGAAAGAAAACAACUGUGUAAGCAGACAUCAGUGUAAACCUUAGCACUGUCUCUUGAUGAGAUAAGAGGAGGAUGGCAGUGACAGGAGUGUGGUGGCGAGCCAGUCACCUGCAGUCAACCACGGCUCAUUGCUCUCACCAUGCCUGUUACAUGAAGGUAUGUAUGUAUAGGAAAAAGCACUGAAAAACUCUCCAGUUUCAGGCAUCCACUGGGGAUCU